rnacentral:rRNA from 1 species
GCAGCAGCCGCGGUAAUACGAAGGGGGCUAGCGUUGUUCGGAUUUACUGGGCGUAAAGGGCGCGUAGGCGGACUGAUAAGUCAGGGGUGAAAUCCCAAGGCUCAACCUUGGAACUGCCUUUGAUACUGUUUGUCUUGAGUUCGAGAGAGGUAAGUGGAACUGCGAGUGUAGAGGUGAAAUUCGUAGAUAUUCGCAAGAACACCAGUGGCGAAGGCGGCUUACUGGCUCGAAACUGACGCUGAGGCGCGAAAGCGUGGGGAGCAAACAGGAUUAGAUACCCCAGUAGUCCCUGUCUCUUAUAC